UACAGAGGGUGCAAGCGUUAUUCGGAAUCACUGGGCGUAAAGCGCAUGUAGGCGGUUUGAUAAGUCUGAUGUGAAAUCCCUGGGAACAACUCAGGAAGUGCAUCGGAUACUGUCAGGCUAGAGUGCGGGAGGGGGGAGUGGAAUUCCAGGUGUAGAGGUGAAAUUCGUAGAUAUCUGGAGGAACAACAGUGGCGAAGGCGACUCCCUGGACCGUUACUGACGCUGAGAUGCGAAAGCGUGGGGAGCAAACAGG
rnacentral:rRNA from 1 species